rnacentral:lncRNA from 1 species
AACUAAACAACUGCUUUUUUACCACAAACUGUGACUCCUGGGAAUACUUGCCUAAAGUUAACAAAAAAAAUACGACAUUUAAUGAACUUAGGUGCUUAAUCAUGUAAACAACUUAAGCACAAAUUUGAAUACAGCUGGGAUGAUUGCUUAAUUCACUUCGUACAGAGCCUCAAAUUUAUCAGUGGUUUUAAAGACAAUGCAAAUAGAAACAUCCUCCAUAGAAAAGCUGAGAAAUACAAGUAUGUUCCUAAGUUUUUACUUUUAUUAACUAGAAAGUUAAAUUAAGGAUAUUGUAUCUGACCAUAUCACAUGGUGACCAGACAAUUCUGAUUGCUGACAUUCUCUUUCUGCCUCAGACUACUUUUUCUUAUUUACCUGUAUCUGCUGUUUGAUCAGUCC